rnacentral:rRNA from 1 species
AAUCUGGGGCCCUCGGCCUCCGAGUUGUAAUUUGGAGAGGCAUCCUUCUGGGGGGAGCGCCGGCCCAUGUUCCUUGGAACAGGACGUCACAGAGGGUGAGAAUCCCGUGUCAGGCAGGCUGCCUCCUCCCGUGUGAAGGGCCUUCSACGAGUCSAGUUGUUUGGGAAUGCAGCUCCMAGUGGGUGGUAAAUUUCAUCUAAAGCUAAAUACCGGCGGGAGACCGAUAGCGCACAAGUAGAGUGAUCGAAAGAUGAAAAGCACUUUGAAAAUAGAGUCAAAAAGUACGUGAAAUUGUUGAAAGGGAAGCGCUUGAGACCAGACUCAGGCCCGGGCAAACACCGCGCCCCUUGGGGCCGUGCAAUUGCCCGGGGCUGGGCCAGCAUCAGUUGGUGUGGCGGGACAAAGGCGCAGGCAAUGUGGCUCCCCUCGAGGAGUGUUAUUAGGCCCGCGCUCAAUGCCGCCGACGUCGACUGAGGACCGCGCCUCGGCUAGGAUGCUGGCUCAAUGGCCUUCAGCGACCCGUCUUGAAACACGGACCAAGGAGUCUAACAUCUAUGCGAGUGUUUGGGCGUCAAACCCUUGCGCGUAAUGAAAGUGAGCGGAGGUGGGAACCCCUCGCGGGGCGCACCAUCGACCGAUCCUGAUGUCUUCGGAUGGAUUUGAGUA